rnacentral:rRNA from 1 species
AAACCGCUUAGGGGUUAAGCCCGAUGAACCUGAAUAUCUGAAUUGCGAAAUUCAGUGCUGUUUGGCGGUGCAUUUAACGAUGUAUUGUCGACAGUAUGCACUUUUCGCAUAGUAGGACAUUGCGAUCCAUUCGUAGUUCUCUUUGAGACGGUUUAUCAUACGGCCUGUGUAGUCAGUUUAGCCUAUCUGCGGUACUCGUUGCCGUAUGGUUAAUACUACUGCGGUGCCCGGUAAACAGCGGAUGGAGCUUAACAAUCAUGCCACCAUGCAAAUGUAUCACGGUCGUGACGUAUUUAUAUGUUGCGGUGCAGUGAUCGCAUGUAUUUGAUUAGCAAUGCGAUAGAUUUGGGAUACCUUCGGGACCCGUCUUGAAACACGGACCAAGAAGUCUAACAUGUGUGCGAGUCAUUGGGUAUUUCGUUGAAACCUAAAGGCGCAAUUAAAAUAACUAUUUUAUGGGAUUACAAGCGAUCUCCAAUGAUCGUUUCUCCAUCCCGGGGCGUUCUAUGUGAACAUGGUUCAAGCAAUUGGGCCCUCUGUUCGAGAGCGUACCUUGAGCAUACAUGCUGU